rnacentral:lncRNA from 1 species
GAGGCUUUAGGGGGAUAUCUAGGUAUAAACCAUAACAGAGGGCCUCAGAGGCUGGGCACUGGGGACCUUCCUCUGGGGGUAAGAUUCAGGAUGGCUGUAGAAGUGAGAGGCAAUGGGAAGGGCAGAGGGCUGUGUGGUGAGGGAAGUGGACCUAUGUGGGCAAGAGUGCUGGGAGGGCAGUUCUAGGGUCUGGCUGGAGCCCAUUUCUCGCAGGGGUCUGAGGACUGAGAUCUUCUCAAGGUGGAUGCACAGGCUCGUGGGGGAAGACGUGAAGCGAAAUGCUCUUGUUUUGUGUGUGAAAACCUAGGCUCCUACAAGGUGGUCCAGAGUGACGUGAGGAGAAAGGCGCCACCAUGGCAAGGGAGACAAUGUGAGUUUGUAAAAGAGAGAGCAAAUCAAGAAAGAAGAUGACCCUGGAUCAGCUGGGUCAGAUCAGAGCAAGACAGAACAAGUCAGGCUGUAAGAUACUGAGAGGGGACUUGGGUGACAAGGUUGCACCUCUAUGAAAGCACCAGAGCUGCUACUGGUUCUACUUGAGUGGGGAAGACAACUGGAAUACCUCGCAGACCUGCUGGCAUAUGAGCGGCUCUCUCAUCAGCUUCUCCACUGACCAGGAGCUACACUUCAUCUGGUGCAGGAAUGGAACCAGCCUGAGCUGAGUGCAUGGCCCCUGGCCAUCCCUAAGGCGAGGCAUAGCUCACACCCAGCAUUUGGGGAAGGCAGACCCCACCACCACCACCACACUGGAAGCAGAAGGAAAGACAGUGGUUUAGUGUGUGCAUUGAAAUGGAGCUGGGGCUUAUAAGGGAGACAGGGGCAGGUGAGCUCUGUUGCUGCCUUGUGGGACUGUGGCCCAGCCCCUUUCAUUGGUCCCUUUUGUGGGGACAGCUGCAGUUGAUCAGUAUAGCCAGG